GUUGUAUAGUUAAGUGACUAAGCGUACAAGGUGGAUGCCUUGGCAAUCAGAGGCGACGAAGGACGUGCUAAUCUGCGAAAAGCUUGGAUGAGUCGAUAAGAGGCGUUUAAUCCAAGAUGUCCGAAUGGGGAAACCCAGUAGAUGAAGAAUCUACUAUCACUUACUGAAUCCAUAGGUAAGUGAGGCAAACCGGGAGAACUGAAACAUCUAAGUACCCCGAGGAAAAGAAAUCAACCGAGAUUUCGUUAGUAGCGGCGAGCGAACGCGAAGGAGCCUGUUAGUGAUAAUGACAGAGACAGAGGAACAAGCUGGGAAGCUUGGCGAUACAGGGUGAUAGCCCCGUACUCGAAGUCCAGGUCAUGGUACUAAGCUAACGAUAAGUAGGGCGGGACACGUGAUAUCCUGUUUGAAGAUGGGGGGACCAUCCUCCAAGGCUAAAUACUCCUGAUUGACCGAUAGUGAACCAGUACUGUGAAGGAAAGGCGAAAAGAACCCCGGUGAGGGGAGUGAAAUAGAACCUGAAACCUUGUACGUACAAGCAGUGGGAGCCCUUUAAGGGUGACUGCGUACCUUUUGUAUAAUGGGUCAGCGACUUAUAUUUUGUAGCGAGGUUAACCGAAUAGGGGAGCCGAAGGGAAACCGAGUCUUAACUGGGCGUCUAGUUGCAAGGUAUAGACCCGAAACCCGGUGAUCUAGCCAUGGGCAGGUUGAAGGUUGGGUAACACUAACUGGAGGACCGAACCGACUAAUGUUGAAAAAUUAGCGGAUGACUUGUGGCUGGGGGUGAAAGGCCAAUCAAACCGGGAGAUAGCUGGUUCUCCCCGAAAUCUAUUUAGGUAGAGCCUUGAGCGGACACCUUCGGGGGUAGAGCACUGUUUCGGCUAGGGGUCCAUCCCGGAUUACCAACCCGAUGCAAACUACGAAUACCGAAGAGUGAUACUCAGGAGACACACGGCGGGUGCUAACGUCCGUCGUGGAGAGGGAAACAACCCAGACCGCCAGCUAAGGUCCCAAAGUCUAUAUUAAGUGGGAAACGAGGUGGGAAGGCUUAGACAGCUAGGAUGUUGGCUUAGAAGCAGCCAUCAUUUAAAGAAAGCGUAAUAGCUCACUAGUCGAGUCGGCCUGCGCGGAAGAUGUAACGGGGCUCAAAUAUAGCACCGAAGCUGCGGCAUCAGUAGCAAUACUGUUGGGUAGGGGAGCGUUCUGUAAGCGGAUGAAGGUGAAUCGAGAGGUUUGCUGGACGUAUCAGAAGUGCGAAUGCUGACAUAAGUAACGAUAAAACGGGUGAAAAACCCGUUCGCCGGAAGACCAAGGGUUCCUGUCCAACGUUAAUCGGGGCAGGGUGAGUCGGCCCCUAAGGCGAGGCUGAAAAGCGUAGUCGAUGGGAAACGGGUUAAUAUUCCCGUACUUGGAUAAACUGCGAUGUGGGGACGGAGCAGGUUAGGUUAUCGCACUGUUGGAUAUGUGCGUUUAAGUUGGUAGGUGUGAAGUUUAGGCAAAUCCGGACUUCUUUAACACUGAGAGAUGAUGACGAGGCUCUACGGAGCUGAAGUAACCGAUACCACACUUCCAGGAAAAGCCACUAAGCUUCAGGUUUAUCUAAACCGUACUGAAAACCGACACAGGUGGUCAGGUAGAGAAUACUCAGGCGCUUGAGAGAACUCGGGUGAAGGAACUAGGCAAAAUAGCACCGUAACUUCGGGAGAAGGUGCGCCGGCGUAGAUUGUAGUCCCUUGCGGAUGAAGGUUGAACCGGUCGAAGAUACCAGCUGGCUGCAACUGUUUAUUAAAAACACAGCACUCUGCAAACACGAAAGUGGACGUAUAGGGUGUGAUGCCUGCCCGGUGCUGGAAGGUUAAUUGAUGGUGUAAUCGAAAGAGAAGCUCCUGAUCGAAGCCCCAGUAAACGGCGGCCGUAACUAUAACGGUCCUAAGGUAGCGAAAUUCCUUGUCGGGUAAGUUCCGACCUGCACGAAUGGCAUAAUGAUGGCCAGGCUGUCUCCACCCGAGACUCAGUGAAAUUGAAAUCGCCGUGAAGAUGCGGUGUACCCGCGGCUAGACGGAAAGACCCCGUGAACCUUUACUAUAGCUUGACACUGAACAUUGAAUUUUGAUGUGUAGGAUAGGUGGGAGACU
rnacentral:rRNA from 1 species